UACGCUUUAUGGCCACAACUCACCGGGCUCAACGAGUUCCUCCGCCAUUCCAAUCGCGAUCUGCAUCGGGAUAUCUGGAAUCUCGGCCUGCAGCUCUUUGCCACACGUAUGAAUCCGAAUGGAAACCAAGUCGAAUCACAUAAAAUCUUUCAGCAAAAUGCGCGCAGAACUUAUUAUAUGAAUUUCUUAAUUUUUGCAAAAACGAGGAACGAGGAGUUGCCCUGAUCUUUUUUAUGGCAUUUCGUUUUGCCGAGAUGCUAUCAGUUGGUUUUUGUUUCUGGUUUUUGGUCUUUAAAUUGGCUCGCAUCCACUGGUCUCCAGGUCGAUUCACCGCAUGAAUCAUAAGCCAGUUAAAGCCGAAUUCCUAAAUGUUCAUUUAAGCUCACGUUACUUAUUAUUGCCGGGUCAAUGUAUUUGGGACUUGCAACCUAGUUUUGAUUCCAGGCAGGCCGUAAUUAAAAGCUCGAGAAAUCAAUUUAAUACUCACGAGACUCGAGACUCUAGAGUCUAGACUCGACAUUCGUAGCUCCACUUGUCAAACAUUUUGUAAGCCCCCGAAAAUGGUGACCGUCACUUUCUGCUGCUAUUUCUUUAGCCUCCGGGUUGGAUGUAUUUUGAGCGGGCUUUGGCUGAUCAUUUAUUACUCUGCUCUGGCUUUUGUUAUGUAUUCUGAAAUUAUUAAUCCCAGAUUCGAGAAGGGAAAAUACUGGGACACUUGGGGCGACGAUGUAAGCGAGGACUUGGAAGGUUACUGGGUGCUUGGAAUUGCUUAUCUUGUGAUGGAUUUUGUUUCUAUAUUUUUGAUCUUUGGGGGAAUUGUGAAAUCCAUCACUCUCUUGAGUAUGUUUUUGGUCCUGCAGAUAGUUCCUGUGUCGGUGAAAGUUUUCUUCAUGCUGUGGGCCGUUUUCACAGGCCUUGAACUUGAGUCUGUGAUUACUUAUCUGCUGCCACUGAUUUUUCUUCUUUACAUCGAUGUGGUGGCAUAUUCCUAUCUGCAAGCUGUGAGGUUUAAGAAGAAAAGGAUCUUUGCAUCUGCUAUUUCCAUUGAGUAUUAAUUUAACAGCGGACAAGAAAGAUAAGAACGGUUGACUUUCCAGCAGAGAGACAUGUCAAGAAAUGAAAACAAAAAUGAUUUAUCAUAAUGGGAGUUGGGGCCGAAGAAGCUGGAUCCGAUUCAGAAUUGGGACCGAGAAUGUCAGGGGCAUUGGGAGUUGGUUGGGGGUUUGGGGCCUCUGCUCCCAGCGGUGUUGCCUAAACGGGCGAUAACGGCCAAGACGAAGAUGGGACAGGAAUCAAGAGAACGGCCACGACCGAAAAGAUAUCGGGAUCGGUCUCGAUCUCGGUCUCGGUCUUGGUCUCGGAACGCUGCGUCUGGAUGUCAACUCUUCAUAUAAAAAUUAACGAAAUAUAAAUUAAAAAGUAUGCCCUACCUCUCCACCACAGGGCGAUGAAAUAAAA
rnacentral:sRNA from 1 species